rnacentral:rRNA from 1 species
UACGGGGGAUGCAAGCGUUAUCCGGAUUUAUUGGGUUUAAAGGGUGCGUAGGCGGACUGUUAAGUCAGCGGUAAAAUGUCGGUGCUCAACACCGGCCGGCCGUUGAAACUGGCAGCCUUGAGUGAGUGAGAAGUAAGCGGAAUGCGUGGUGUAGCGGUGAAAUGCAUAGAUAUCACGCAGAACGCCGAUUGCGAAGGCAGCGUACCGGCGCCCAACUGACGCUGAAGCACGAAGGCGUGGGUAUCGAACAGG